ensembl:lncRNA
AUUUGGCCUAUGCAGAAGACAGAUGGAUCUUGAAGAAUGACUAAGGAUUAUUGUAAACUUAAUCAGGUGGUGAAUAUAAUCACAGCUGCUGUUCCAGAUGUGGUUUCAUUGCUGUAGUAAAUCAAUAUAUGUGACAUCUAAUAUGUGAAUAUUGAUAUGGGAAGUCAUUUUUUCCUCUAUAUACAUUUAGUAGAGAUGACCAGAACUAUUUUUCUUUCAUCUGGAAGGACUAGCAAUGUACCCUCCUUGUUUCACCUCAGGAUUAUAUCAACUUUCCAACCCUGGCCGAUUCUACUCCUCAGGAAAUUGGUUGUCUCUUCAUUCCACAACAUAUCACAUGGAUCCUCUACACUGGUGCAUCAGGAAAUUGCAACUACUUUAGACUCCUUGGUAGAUGUCUCCAAACUGGGUCUCUGCCACUGCUUUGUUCCAGUUGAAGAGUUUAUAUUAAAUAUGUUGAUGUCAAAAGAACAGGGUGUCUCACCAUCUCAGAGGUAAGUUGAGGAUGUGAGAUGCUUCUUUUCUACACCAAACUGCUCAGUUAAUUUGCCCUCACUCUGCCACUGCUUGAAUUAUCAAAUUAAAGUAAAGUCUUUCCCAUGUGCCUGUCUGAAACAUCGAUAUCUGAACAAUUUGUUUGAAUGAUGGCUUUCCAAACUAAUGAUGAGGGCCAGCUUCCUGGAUAUGAAACUCAUACAGUGUCAGAACUCAUGCUUUAUUGCUCCGCUGUUGCAGUCUUCAAAUUCUUUGUAAAUUUUGAAAAAACUAAGGGGCUCUGCAUUUUCGUUUAUACUGGGUCCUGUAAAUUAUAUAGAUAGUACUGCUAAAGGCCUAUGUCUCCUGGUAGCUCAGGGACUGAGCAUUCUUGUCCAUUUGUUGAUUAAUCAACCCUGUUCAGAUCGAUGAGACAGUGGAGAUCUUUAUUACAUAGCCAUUCACAGAGGCAUGUGGAUUUUUAUUUUCCCUCUGCUCCAACUUCCAUUACCUUUAUUACCAUGGCACAAUUUUCUAAGGUCCUUAAAAUGCCUAAAUUUGAGUAGGGAGUCUUGCACAAUAGAAGAAAGCGUAAAUAUUGCCUUCUGGAAGAUGCCUUUGCAACAGACCUUCUUGUGUCUGAAUUAAGACUCCUUCCUAUAAUUUUCCCCUAACCUCACAGGUCAUCUGCAGUCAGAAAAUCUACAGAAAGGCUAUCAAAUGUGUCUUUAGCCCCUUUUCCAUCAGCAGAAGCAGUAACAACAGCUGCUCUCAAAUGAGCAUUUCUGGUGGAAGAAGCCUCUGAGCUCAGAAUAACACCAGAUAUCUUCGGUUCUGAUGUUAAUACAACAAUCUUCCCCACUUUCAUCUUGAUGAUCUGCAGUUCUAUUCUCAGCAUGGCAGCCAGAGUGAGACUUUUACAUGGAAAUCAGAUUAUAUCACUCCUCACUCAAAGCCUUCCUCUGAUUUCACAUUCCAUCUAGUUCUAGAACAUGUUAGGCAUUUCCUAAUUUAGGCCUGGACUCUCCUCUGCUUGGAAAACUUGUCCCAAAUAUCUACAAGACUCACUCUCUCAUCUUCUUCAAGUUUGUUCAACUGUUUUCCUUCCAGUGAGCCUACUCUGAUACUUUACCUAAAAUUAUAAGGGCAUCACCCUCGUGUGGCCCCCUCCAGAAUUUCCUGUCUCCUAACUUUCUUG